AAAGCAGGCCAGGCAAUCGCGGCCACGACGGUUUCGGCCGGAGAGGGCGAGGAAAGUCCGGACUCCACAGGGCAGGGUGAUGGCUAACGGCCAUCCGUGGCGACACGCGGAACAGGGCAACAGAAAGCAAACCGCCGAUGGCUCCGGGCGCAAGUCCGGAGAUCAGGUAAGGGUGAAACGGUGCGGUAAGAGCGCACCGCGGACGUCGCGAGACGCUCCGGCACGGUAACCUCCACUCGGAGCAAUUCCAAAUAGGCAGGCGCGCAUCUUCGCGAUGCAGGACGGGGCCCCCGUUUCGUCUGCGGGUAGGAAGCUUGAGCGCGUCAGCAAUGGCGCGUCUAGAGGAAUGAUUGCCACGCGCGGUCGGCUUCGGCCGGGCGCGUGCACAAAAUCCGGCUUAUCGGCCUGCUUUGUCG
rnacentral:RNase_P_RNA from 1 species